rnacentral:rRNA from 1 species
AGAGUUUGAUCAUGGCUCAGGACGAACGCUGGCGGCGNNNUUAACACAUGCAAGUCGAGCGAGAACCGAAGCCUUCGGGCAUCGGGGAAAGCGGCGAACGGGUGAGUAACACGUGGGCAACCCACCCUUGGUACCGGGAUAGCCCGGGGAAACCCGGAUUAAUACCGGAUGGCCCAGCAGCUCUUCGGGGUGGCUGGAAAAGGGAGCUUCGGCCUCCGACCAAGGACGGGCCCGCGGCGGAUUAGCUUGUUGGUGGGGUAACGGCUCACCAAGGCGACGAUCCGUAGCUGGUCUGAGAGGACGAUCAGCCACACUGGGACUGAGACACGGCCCAGACUCCUACGGGAGGCAGCAGUGGGGAAUCUUGCGCAAUGGGCGAAAGCCUGACGCAGCGACGCCGCGUGGGGGAAGAAGGCUUUCGGGUUGUAAACCCCUUUCAGGAAGGACGAAGCUACUCGGGUGAAUAGCCCAGAGGGUGACGGUACUUCCAGAAGAAGCCCCGGCUAACUACGUGCCAGCAGCCGCGGUAAUACGUAGGGGGCAAGCGUUGUCCGGAUUUAUUGGGCGUAAAGAGCGUGUAGGCGGCCAUGUAGGUCCGUUGUGAAAACUCGAGGCUCAACCUCGAGACGCCGAUGGAAACCAUGUGGCUAGAGUCCGGAAGAGGAGAGUGGAAUUCCUGGUGUAGCGGUGAAAUGCGCAGAUAUCAGGAAGAACACCCGUGGCUAAGGCGGCUCUCUAGUACGGUACUGACGCUGANNNNCGAAAGCGUGGGGAGCAAACAGGAUUAGAUACCCNNGUAGUCC